UAAAUACAUUAAAUAAUCCAAAAUACAAAAAAUGAAAAAAAAAUAAAUAGAGCAAAUUAAUAAGAACAAAAAAAUAUAAAUCAACUUAUUGUUAACGUUUUACCAAACCUAGACCUAUAAAAAUAAGAGCACUAACUCAAGGAAUUUUAAUUUAUCUGACCAAAACUAAAUUUAGAGAACUAAAAAAUUAAUAAAUAUGCAUAAGUUUCUAAAUAAAUACAAUUUCAUUUAAAAAAAAUAUUUAUGAUGUUUUUAAAAUUUUAUUAAAACUCAUGCCGAAAAAAAUAGUGUAUCACAUUUUUUGGAAAUUACCGAAAAGCAUAAGUUAUAAUAAUUACAUAAUCAAUACAAGUAUUAUUCAACAAUUAGUUUGGAAAAUAUAAGAUCUAACAUUGCUUCAAUCAAAUAAUCGUAACUAUCAUAUACUUUAACACUUAGGGGAUGUAUUGAAUCUGAAAUUUGAAGUGAUUUGAUUUUAGUGAGUUUUUAGAUGAUUUUAGAUGAAUAUUAGAAUUUGGUAUGAUUUUGUUAAAGAACUCUAGAAUCUCAUCUAAAACUAUGGAUUUGGAUUUUUUUUUUUAAUAACUAAGAAACCCCUCUUAAGCACCUUAAAAACAUUUAAAACACUAUA
rnacentral:lncRNA from 1 species